GGAGUUCGGGCUCUGAGAUUCGAGUCGACUCCCAGGACAGUCGAGUCGACUCGAGUGGACAAAAUUCAAAAUUGGAUCCACGGACUUCAGUGGAUGAGCCGACUCCAAAAUUGCCAAGUCAGCUCCAAAAGUUGGCGAGUCGACUCCGGGUCAAGACAAGUCGACUCCCAGUCGUGAAGGCAACUUUAAUUCAAAUUUGGAACAGUUGCCGAGUCGACUCUGGAAAAGCUUGAGUCGACUCC
rnacentral:lncRNA from 1 species